UCCUGACGUAGUUUGUUUUAUUUGUAAACAUGACGGUAGCAGUUUUAGACGGGUAGCACCGACAGACAGACUUAGCCAUCUAUCCGAGCUAUGGUAGGAAAAUCUGACGAGGUAGCACUGAUAGUCAGAGCAUU